rnacentral:rRNA from 1 species
AUUGAACGCUGGCGGCAUGCCUUACACAUGCAAGUCGAACGGUAACGCGGGGCAACCUGGCGACGAGUGGCGAACGGGUGAGUAACGCAUCGGAACGUGCCCAGUAGUGGGGGAUAGCCCGGCGAAAGCCGGAUUAAUACCGCAUACGACCUACGGGUGAAAGCGGGGGACCGCAAGGCCUCGCGCUGUUGGAGCGGCCGAUGUCAGAUUAGGUAGUUGGUUGGGUAAAGGCCUACCAAGCCUGCGAUCUGUAGCUGGUCUGAGAGGACGACCAGCCACAAUGGGACUGAGACACGGCCCAGGCUCCUACGGGAGGCAGCAGUGGGGAAUUUUGGACAAGGGGGGAAACCCUGAUCCAGCCAUGCCGCGUGCGGGAAGAAGGCCUUCGGGUUGUAAACCGCUUUUGUCAGGGAAGAAAUCCCUCGGGUUAAUACCCUGGGGGGAUGACGGUACCUGAAGAAUAAGCACCGGCUAACUACGUGCCAGCCGCCGCCGUAA